AGGCCGAAAGGCGUAGUCGAUGGGAAACAGGUUAAUAUUCCUGUACUUGGUGUUACUGCGAAGGGGGGACGGAGAAGGCUAUGUUAGCCGGGCGACGGUUGUCCCGGUUUAAGCAUGUAGGCUGGUUAUCCAGGCAAAUCCGGAUAAUCAAGGCUGAGGUGUGAUGACGAGGCACUACGGUGCUGAAGUAACAAAUGCCCUGCUUCCAGGAAAAGCCUCUAAGCAUCAGGUAACAUCAAAUCGUACCCCAAACCGACACAGGUGGUCAGGUAGAGAAUACCAAGGCGCUUGAGAGAACUCGGGUGAAGGAACUAGGCAAAAUGGUGCCGUAACUUCGGGAGAAGGCACGCUGGUGUGUAGGUGAAGUCCCUGCGGAUGGAGCUGAGACCAGUCGAAGAUACCAGCUGGCUGCAACUGUUUAUUAAAAACACAGCACUGUGCAAACACGAAAGUGGACGUAUACGGUGUGACGCCUGCCCGGUGCCGGAAGGUUAAUUGAUGGGGUUAUCCGUAAGGAGAAGCUCUUGAUCGAAGCCCCGGUAAACGGCGGCCGUAACUAUAACGGUCCUAAGGUAGCGAAAUUCCUUGUCGGGUAAGUUCCGACCUGCACGAAUGGCGUAAUGAUGGCCAGGCUGUCUCCACCCGAGACUCAGUGAAAUUGAACUCGCUGUGAAGAUGCAGUGUACCCGCGGCAAGACGGAAAGACCCCGUGAACCUUUACUAUAGCUUGACACUGAACAUUGAGCCUUGAUGUGUAGGAUAGGUGGGAGGCUUUGAAGCGUGGACGCCAGUCUGCGUGGAGCCAACCUUGAAAUACCACCCUUUAAUGUUUGAUGUUCUAACGUUGGCCCCUUACCGGGGUUGCGGACAGUGUCUGGUGGGUAGUUUGACUGGGGCGGUCUCCUCCCAAAGCGUAACGGAGGAGCACGAAGGUUAGCUAAUCCUGGUCGGACAUCAGGAGGUUAGUGCAAUGGCAUAAGCUAGCUUGACUGCGAGCGUGACGGCGCGAGCAGGUGCGAAAGCAGGUCAUAGUGAUCCGGUGGUUCUGAAUGGAAGGGCCAUCGCUCAACGGAUAAAAGGUACUCCGGGGAUAACAGGCUGAUACCGCCCAAGAGUUCAUAUCGACGGCGGUGUUUGGCACCUCGAUGUCGGCUCAUCACAUCCUGGGGCUGAAGUAGGUCCCAAGGGUAUGGCUGUUCGCCAUUUAAAGUGGUACGCGAGCUGGGUUUAGAACGUCGUGAGACAGUUCGGUCCCUAUCUGCCGUGGGCGCUGGAGAAUUGAGGGGGGCUGCUCCUAGUACGAGAGGACCGGAGUGGACGCAUCACUGGUGUUCGGGUUGUCAUGCCAAUGGCACUGCCCGGUAGCUAAAUGCGGAAGAGAUAAGUGCUGAAAGCAUCUAAGCACGAAACUUGCCCCGAGAUGAGUUCUCCCUGAGACUU
rnacentral:rRNA from 1 species